UUGAGUCUGCUACCUGAUCCGAGGUCAACCUUUGGAAAAUUGGGGGUUUAACGGCUAGAGUCCCUCCGAAUCCCAGUGCGAGACAAAAGUUACUACGCAAAGGAGGCUCCGAGAGGGUCCGCCACUACCUUUGAGGGCCUACGUCAACCGUAGAGCCCCAACGCCAAGCAGUGCUUGAGGGUUGAAAUGACGCUCGAACAGGCAUGCCCGCCAGAAUGCUGGCGGGCGCAAUGUGCGUUCAAAGAUUCGAUGAUUCACUGAAUUCUGCAAUUCACAUUACUUAUCGCAUUUCGCUGCGUUCUUCAUCGAUGCCAGAACCAAGAGAUCCGUUGUUAAAAGUUUUGAUUAUUUGCUUGUGCCACUCAGAAGAAACGUCGUUAAAUCAGAGUUUGGUUAUCCUCCGGCGGACACCCCGCAGAGCGGGGCCGGGGGCCCGGGAGCCGUCCGCCGAAGCAACAGUUAGGUAUGUUCACAAAGGGUUAUAGAGCGGUAACUCAGUAAUGAUCCCUCAGCAGGUUACCCCUACGGAA
rnacentral:rRNA from 1 species